UGGGUGUCUAUCUCUCCCGCAGCCAUCCUUAUAGCCCAUGACUGGGGUUCAGGGGAGGGGGCUGCUGCACUUGGUCCCCUACAUGCCCAGACUGAAGGCUCUGGUCUCCUCACUCAGCACAAAAUCCCAAAGGAAGAAAGUGGAGCAGCCAGCAACCCAGGUGGAUUACAUAGAAACCGUCAUGGAUUAGUCUCUCAGAAGAAUAUUGCCUAGCUGAAAGUCCUGUCUCCAAUCAAAAGAUACAGUUGGACUAUGCCUCAGAUUGAUGACAAAGAUUCCUGAGGUUACGGGCAGAAACCAAUUCCCCAGGACUGGCCCAACACCAAGUUCCUAGAAUUGUUCAACUAACCAAUUCAGCUACCUCCAUCCAGAUUAACCAAUACCCAAUGACCCUGGAAACAAAAAGGGAAAUUGCAGUCCAUGUUGCCUGGCUUGGAGAGACAGCCACCCUGGAGCCCUGGCAGUCACCCUGGAAUAUGCCUCUCUUGCCUGUGAAGAAACGUGGGACCUCUGAUUCACAUAAGUCUGAUUAUUCCAGAGAAACAAGUGUACACUGUCUUAGAUCUGAAAGAUGUAUUCUUCAGCCUCCCAUUGGCAGAGGUGAGUCAACCAUGUUUGCUUUUAAUUGGACAAACCCAGAGGGGUGUUACAGCAGGCAACAUCCUUGGACUGGGUUGCCCCAAGGAUUUAAAGACACUAAAUGCAGACCUCCUGCCCUUCUGUCAAAGAUUUCCUGGGAAAAGAGAUUACAACGGAGACAUUGAGGGACUGCUGCAAGAGUUACAGACAUUGGGCUAGAGAAUGUCGGCCAAGAAAGCUCAACUUCAUACAUCAGAGCCUGCCUACCCUGGCUACCAGCUGAGGGGAGGCAGUCAUCCUUCAGAUGGACUGCUGCCAUCCUUCAUAUCCCACCUCCAAAGACUAAGAGACAGGUCCCAGAGUUCCUAAGUGCAGCCAGAUAUUGCUGCCUCUGGAUACCAGAGUUUGUGGCAAUAGCAAGGUCUCUCUACACCAGCACAAAGCGGGGCACUGAACACCUAACCUGGACUGAGACUGAACGAAAAGCAUUUGAGGCUUUAAAAACAUCUCUGCCUUCUGCUGCAGCCCUAGCACUUCCAGAUGCCCGCAAAACAAAAGGCAUUACAAAAGGGGUUUUAACCCACACUCUGGGGCCACGGAAACGUGUCCGAAUGACUGGCCCCUGGAACCACAGGAUGGUCCACCUGUCUAAGAACUGUGGUGGCUAUUGCUAGUCUAAUGAAAAACCAACAGGUUAACUCUGGGUCAAGAUCUUAUCUCACAGCACUCUGGGAUUGAGACCCUCCUCGGAGGAACACCAGGAUGCUGACUGUCUAAUGCCUGUGUGAUCCAGUACCAGGCCCUACUUUUGACCCACCCUCAAGUCCAGUUUGCAAAACCUACCACCAUCCAUCCUGCUACCCUCCUGCCUGGUGAACACCUCGGGUGCUCAUCCAGGACUGUCACAGGAUGAAGGGCGAAACCGGGUGUGUGAGAGCUGCAGUUGUUGCUUUAACUGAAACUGGCUUGGUUUGACCCCAACCCAGGUUCCUCAGCCCAGAAAGCAGAACUGAUCCAUCCGACCCAGGCUUUCAGAUGGAGAAAAGGAAAGUCCACACUGCACACAAAAUAGUUGCUAUGUUUCUGCUACUGUGUGUGUCCAUGGUAUGAUCUAUAGAGAAACAGGGUUUCUCACCACUGGGGAAAAUGACAUUAGAAACAAAUAGAAAAUCCUGGCCCUCCUCGAGGCUAUCCAUCUUCCCCGACAAAUUGCUGUCCUCCACCACUGGGCCACUGACCUUGCUGUCCAACAAAUGGCCCUAAGACCAGGGGGGCCUAUUGAUGUUCUGAUGACAUACCCCAACCUAGUGCUGCCUGAGACUCCAUGGUGGAGAAGAAAUGGACUGUUCAAACCCAAAGGUUGAUGGAGGACACCAGAGGGAAAGAUCACUCUCCCAGAAACAACCAGCAGGAAUCUGUAACUGACCUUCAUCCAGCUACUUAUCUGAGAUUCACAAGACAGAGCUGCUCAGACCAAGGUUUGCCAACGCCUAGCUCAGGCUGUCUCAGCCAGAUUCCAGUUUUGUGCCUAAGCAAAUCCAGAGAGCCCUUACCCAAGAAUGAUUCUGGACGAGAGACCAACACCCUGGCGAACUCUGGGAAAACUGACUUCACAGAGAUCUGACCUACCAAGGGAGGAUAAAAAUACUUGCUACUUUUUAUAGAAACUAGCCAUCUUUUCUGGGAGGGCAAAUACGUUCUCUACCUGGACUGAAACUGCUCAAAUAGUAGCCUUAAAUUCCUCCAAGCACUGGUUCCCUGAUUUGGCUUACUACUAGCCGAUGGGAUCUGACAGUGGCCUGGCUUUCAGAACCAAAACCUCUCUGUUAAUAGCUAAAGCUUUAGAAAUAAAUUGAAAACUUCAUUGUGCUUUAGAACUCAGAAUCCUGGGAAAGUAGAAAAAAUAAACGGGAUGUUAAAAAAUAAAUAAAGAUGAUAACAAAAUUCUCUUUCAAGCCCAGUGAAGGGUGGAUAGACCUCCUUCCUCUGCUUUGCUUCAGGUCUGUGGCGUCCCAGACAGGGAAGGAUUGACCUCCUGAGAUUAUAUUUGGAAGGCCCCCACCCCUGCUUCCCAGGCUCAGAGACUAGCCUUUGGCAGAUCCCUCUAACCUUUUUUCUCAAAUCACAGCAGGCCUUCCGGUCCUCCAAAAAAGGAUAUUCCCUGGGCUAUCCAAGAGACCCAGCUGACCUCUGAGUACCAGUUUCCCCUUGAUGGAGUCCGCUGAUACUCUCUGGUUCAAGCAGGUAGCCAAAGAGGCACUGGAACCAAUUUGGAAAUGACCCUACCGGGUGAUCCUCCCCAUUCCUAUGGCUGUAAAGGUAGCUGGCAUUACAUGACAGAUCCACCACACCCAGGUCAAGAAAGUGGAAGCCAUGGAUGAUGAUACCGAAUGGACUGUCUCUGGACUAUGGACCCAUUAAAAUUAAGGUUUCAUUGGGCCCCUGACCCUUCCACUCCCUGCCCCUCUACCUCCUCCCAAGUCUUAUACUUUGUUCUAUGGGUAUGAGUAUAGGGUUAUGGUCUGACCCCCACAGCCCUCAGGCCCACGGCCCUAGGAACUGAGAAAGACAGAUACAGGAAAGGUAUUAACUAGUUGACUACAGACCAGCAACUCAUAUUCAUCUUGACCUUUGCUCACUGAUGCCCACUUUAAGUAUUUGGUUGUAUUG